ACAGCAUGUCAUAGCAUCAACAAGCAGUGCAACACGGUGAGGGAUAAUGUGUCAAAGUUUAAAGCAGAGUUCAAUUACAAAAUAUUAUCCAAGACUCUGAACUGCUCACAAAGCAUUGUUCAAUCCUUUAGAAAAUUCUAAAGAUAUGGCGCAAUUCCUAAUGUGCUAACACACGACCAUCCACUGAAAUCAGAGAAGCAACUAGGAAGGCCUCGGUAACUGUGGAGGAGCGGCAGCUCGGGUGGGAGGAUUUGUCGGCUGAAAAACUGUUAGUGGAGCAAGAAGAAAUCCGAAAUUAGUCGUGUUUUUAUUUGGCCACAUGGACAAACCAAGUAGAGGAAACAGAAAGUGAAUAAUUGGAGGUGCUCUCACUAGAAGACAGUAAAAUUCGACUUUUUGGGCAUUGUGACUACAGGAAAGUGUCAUGCAUGAUGGGAAUGUUUCCUGCAGUAGCUUGGAAUUAGAAUUAGAAUUCUUUUGUCACUGUGAAAUAAUAAUAAAAAUAGCAACUACUGAAGACAGCGCAAAUAAAUAAGUAAAUACAGACAUAAUUAAAUAAAUAUAAAGUUAUGAUAUCAGUUAUAAAAUAAGUUUGCCACAAGGCUUUCACAUCAAACAUGUGGAAGAGGGCGCUCUGGUCAGAUGUUAUCAAAACUGAACUUUUUUGAUAACAAGUAAAAGAUAUGCAAAACGAAUAGAAAUACCCUGAACAACUUGCAACUGUUAGCAAAAUGUUCCUUCAAAACCUUGAAUCUGACUUUUCCUACUGGCAUCUUUGCAAAAAGAGAAUACCUAAAGAAAUCACUUUCAAGAUGUUCAAAGCUGGUAUAGGUAUACCACCAAAAACUGCAACAAAAAAAAAGUUAUUCCGAUAUUGACUCCGGGGUGGGGGAAAUACAUACAUUGUUUGGUUUCUUUAUAUUACCUUAUGUGGCUCUACAAAGCAAUGAACCU